GCGGAUAUGGCGGAACUGGCAGACGCGCUAGACUUAGGAUCUAGUGGGGCGACCCGUGCAGGUUCAAGUCCUGUUAUCCGCACUA
rnacentral:tRNA from 1 species